rnacentral:rRNA from 1 species
GACGAACGCUGGCGGCGUGCUUAACACAUGCAAGUCGAACGGAAACGCCCUGCCUUUUUGGGGUGCUCGAGUUGCGACCUGGUGAGUAACCCUUGAGUACCCUGCCCUUGCCUUUGGGAUAACUUCAUGCAACUUGGUCUAAUACCGGCUAGGAUCUCUCGCUGCAUGGUGGGCGUGGGAUAGUUUCGGCGGUUGGGGAUGGACUGGCGUCGUAUCAGCUUGUUGGUGGGGUAGUGGAUUACCAAGGCCAUGACAGGUAGCCGGCCUGAGAGGGUGACAGGCCAAAUUAGAACUGAGAUGCGGCACAGACUACUACGGGAGGGAGCAGAGGAGUAGAGUGCACAAGGGGAGGAAGCCUGAUGCAGCAAAGCAGCGUGGGGGAUGAGAGCAAGCGGGUAGUAAAGCGAUUCUGCCUGUGACGAAGCGUGAGUGACGGUAAUGGGUAAAGAAGCACCGGCUAACUACGUG